UGCGAUGUACGCUGAGCCUCAGUU
rnacentral:piRNA from 1 species